CAGAGGACUGCUCCUCUUCCUUUCCACAGUUUGGGCCUUUGGGGACAACAUUUCGGAACACCGUGGCCUUACGCGAGCCACCUGGGUACUCUCCCCGCCUUCCGCCCUUGGGUGCUCUAGCCAUGGGCUUAGAGCGAGGUUCCGUUGAGCCAUGCCUAGUAUCCAAGUAGGUAGUGCCACCCACACUUGGACUGAGAGCAUCGGCUAGUCGAUCUCCCGGGGGAACUAGAGCCGGCUCUUGAACACUUCACCA
rnacentral:lncRNA from 1 species